rnacentral:lncRNA from 1 species
AAUUCAAAAAGUAUCUCAAGAAGAAAGGGGAGAUGAAGAAUCUCAAGAAAGAAGCUAAGAACUCGGCCAAGAAAAGCAAGAUUCCCAAAGAAGGCUUCACUUGCUAUGAGUGUGGAAAAUCGGGCCAUAUGAAGCAUCAGUGCCUGAGCUACCUCAAGAAAGUCGAGAACAAGAAGAGCAACUCUCGAAUGUCCAAGUCAAAAGGAGUAUACAUUAUUUGAGACGAUUUCGAGAAAGAUUCGACUUCAAGCUCAUUCGAUGAGGAGGAAAAUACAAAGGUAUGCCUUAUGGCACAAGUGCAUGAGAAGUGCACAUCUAGUGAUGAAGAUGAUUCUAUUGAGGUACACUCCUAUACUUCAUCAUGCUCUAAUGACUCUCCUCCAUACAAUGAAUUAUAUGCAACUUAUGUCGAAAUGCAUGAGGAAUUAAAGAAAAUUAUUAAAGUAAAUAUAGAUAGAAAAAGAGUUAUCUCCUUGCAUGAAAACAAAAUAAUUGAAAUGCAAAAGGAAUUAGAUGAGCUUAAACUUGAAAAUGAAACUCUUGAUCUUAUCUAUGCAUGUGCCUCAUGUGAUUGCUCUACUUCUAAAUUAUGUCAACUCACUAUAUGUGAUACUUGUGAGAAAUUAAAUGCUGAAAAUUCUGUUGUGAAACAAAAACUUUCAAAGCUCACAUAUAGUCAAGAAAACCUUAACACAUUGCUUGCUAAUACAAGAAACGUUGGUAACUAAUCUGGAAUUGGAUAUAAACCUGAAUCUAAGAAAAGACCAUGUAGAAAUCCAGUAUUAGUUCAUAUGCAUAAGAAGUAAAAUAAUAACAUGCUUACUUGUUUUUAUUGUGGUACACAUGGUCACACAUGUACUACAUGCUUUAUUAGAAAACUUGGUGUGCCAAGUGACAAAUAUGUUUGGGUAAAGAUGAGGCAAGAUCUCUUAGUUAAUAACAAGAAGGGACCCAAAAUAACUUGGGUACCCGAAAGAGACAAGUGAAUUGUGUUUGUAGUGCCAAAGGGCAUUUGAGCGUCAAGGGAUAAAUCAACAAAAGAUGUUCUAGGCACAAGGUUGGUGAGUAGAUCAAGGUGAGUAGAUCAAGGUAAGUUUGAGCUAUCACCAAAGGGUAAGUAAGUUAAGUCUAUUAAGAAGGUUACAAAAUUAAUUAUUGAUAUUGAGUACACUUGAACUAAAAAGUAUAUGUUAUUGUUAUACUCAAUUCAUAACAUGUGAUAUCAUAGUAAGUGCUAUCAAAUGUUUUAAAAUGCUUUAACAAGUGGCAUCAUGACAUGUACAUUUGUUUCAAAGCAAAAUUAUGUUUGAAAGUGCCAUGUCUAUUGUAUGCUUGAUACCAUGCUAAGUGAGUAUAUGCUAAAUUGCCUGUAAAUCUCUAAAUUGUACAUAUUGUCAUUAAAUGCAUGUAUGCUUAAUUGUUAUAUGUUUUCAUGCAUUCUAGCUUUAGAAAGUUUGUUCAAUUCUGGAUUAGAUAGAUUUUUAGGUUGUAUCCCUUAGCAUGUUUUAGUAAGCUCAAAAUUGUGCUUAGAACUGUCAAUUUUCUGUCAUUAAUCAAUUAACCCUCAGUAUAAUCGAUUAAAUGAGUUCCAAUAGCUAAAGUAUUUUGAAAUAAAUCAUUUUAAUCGAUUAAAUUUUUUGUUAAUCGAUUACUUGGGCUCAAUUUUUUCAGAAAUUAUUUUUUGUUGUUUUGUGGCUUACAUCUAUAUUUUUUAGCCAAGUACAUUUCAUGGUUAUGGUUGUACCUUCUUUUAGUAUUCUGUAACUGUGUUGAACCUUGCUAAUUAUAUUAAAUGGAAUUUGUUUUUUGCGUGAAUCUUGAACAUGUCUUAAUUGUGUAUUAUAAUUGAAUGAUUGAAAUAUGCUUUAAAAUGAAAAUACCCAACAAGUGCUAACAAGUGGUGCUAACAAGUGACAUACAUAUAUGUUUAAUCAUUUCAUGCCUAAUAUGUUUACAUAAUGGAUAUGUCAUGCAAAAUCUGUCUAUAUUCAAUUUUAGAGUCAAAAAUCAGUGCAUUUGUUUAAGCUUCUCAAACUGGUUAUUGAUUAUGCUAAUAAUUAAUCAAUCAAUUAUAGUUUUUCAAAAUAAAUUGCUAUAUCUCUUCUUACUUUUGACUAUGUUAAUUAGUUGUUCUUUUUUAUAAUGUUAAAAGGGGGAGAAAAGUUGUUUGUUUGUUGUUGAUGUAUACACGUUAUUAAAGAGAAAGGUUGUCAAAUGAGCUUCCGUAUUAUGCUACCUACCAGGAGUACUUCUCUAAGUAAUAAAGGCGAAGAAGAUAAAGGGGAGAACAAUGAAAGGGGGAGCAGCGCACUUUGAAAGUCAAAUACACAACCUAAACCUGAUCUCUCAAUAUUGAUCAUAUCAUCAAGAUUUUCAUCAAACAAAGAUUUGGUAGAUUUAGUGUGGAGUCUGUCAUGGAGUUUGUUAUCAUCAAAAAGGGGGAGAUUGAAAGUGAAGUGCACCAUUAGAGAUUGAUCUAUAUUUUCAUGAAGAC